rnacentral:rRNA from 1 species
GUCUACGGCUAUGCCACCCUAAACAAGCCCAAUGUCUGAUCUCGGAAGCUAAGCAGGGUCGGGCCUGGUUAGUAUUUGGAUGGGAGACCACCUAAGAAGACCAGGUGCUGCCACUA